GCAGCUGGCCCGGCUCCUGGAAAGCUUUUAAACCUUUUGCAGAACGAGGAUGAGGCCAGCCCAAGCCUGCUGUGAGUCCGCUCACCGGCCUUGAAGAAUUCCUGAACAGCCAGGCAGCAAGGUUGCAGGUGUGAGCUUCGGGCCUCAGUUCCUGCCCAAAACCAUAUUUCGAGGGCAAUAUUACUGACAAGCUCACAAUCACCAGGGAUGAGCCUCUCUCCAAAGGAAAGGCAGCUGCUUCUGUUAUCAGUCUGCUGCUGAGAAAAGAGAAGAAGUGGAUGUAGCAGUUCACAGUACUCUGUUAAUCUGGCUGCAGCCAUAAAUCUUCACCCUAAAUAACAAGCCUGAGUAGCUGGUUUUCCAGGCCAAUACUGUCUCCCUUUUCCACUUCUGUGUUGGCUCCUUUUCCAUCUAGAAAAAGUAAAAUAAACUUUUUUCUUGUUUCUAUUCUAA